AUCCACCCUCCUCAGCCUCCCAGAGUGCUGGGAUUACAGGCAUGAGCCACCGCACCGGCCUCAAGAUCCAAUUCUAAGAGAACAUAGAGUAGUCAGGCUUCCAAGACUCCAGACACAUCCCAAUGAGGUGCUGCAUGUGGCAGUCUGCCAUUUG
rnacentral:snRNA from 1 species